GCCGAAGUGGUGGAACUGGUAGACACGCUGUGUUCAGGGCGCAGUGCUCUUUGGGGCGUGUGGGUUCAAAUCCCACCUUCGGCA
rnacentral:tRNA from 1 species